GCAAGCAAGAUGAUAAUUUGAUUUUUGAGUUAACCUGAUGAGUUUUUGUAGCUGUCAAGAGCUCUAAAAUUGAGCCAAUGAAAGCAAAAUUCAAUAGAAGAAAGCAAAAAAAUGAAGAAGACAGCAUUAAAGGAGAAGAUCAAGCUUUCUAGCAUCAUACUGGCUCUUAAUAAUGCCUUUGGCUUUGAGAUUGGGAUUUUUCGAUGUGACCAAACAGCCAUUUAUGUUCUCAGAAAACUGGAAGAGGAAUAUCCUAUGGUGGAAGAAAAGAAUGGACCAUGAUGAAAAUUUCUACACCAGAAGAG